AUGGCCUCACCAACAACGGGUAAAAGAAAGGGAUCCACCUGUGGGGAACAAGGCGGCGGCGAUGCCGAUUCUCAGUCUGGCAAAGCAACGCGGAUCUCAAUCCCAGACCUUCCCGAGGACAUAUUGUUUCGCAUACAUUCCCUACUGCCAAUGCGUGAAGCUGCUCGUACUGCUUGCAUAUCUCCCACCUUUUUCCAUUCCUGGAGAUGUCAUUCCAAUCUCAUCUUCACUAAGGAUACGAUUGGCUUGAAGAGAAGUGCGUGUGGAGAAUAUUUUGGCGACAAGAUUGACCGCAUUCUCAGGAACCACUCUGGCUGCUUGAAAACAUUCAACAUUGACUACUAUGGCACGCACGGGUUCACCGGCACUAGUUAUUUUGACCGUUGGCUUCAGAUUGCUCUUAAAGCAGGGAUUGAAGAACUCACCCUCGUGCUGUCUGAAGCAAAGCAAAAGUACAACUUCCCAUGCUCGCUUUUAUCUGACGGGGUUCGAAACUCACUUCGGUACCUUAGGCUCCAAUUUUGUGCCCUCCAUCCCACAGUUGAACUGGGCCCCUUGAGAAGCCUGAAAAGCCUGUAUCUGUGGCGUGUGAGCAUUACAUGGAAUGAGUUGGAGUGCCUUAUUUUCAACUCUCUUACUUUGGAGCUACUGGAUCUUAUUAGUUGCCCUCAGAUUGAAUGCCUGAAGCUACCUUGUGCUCUGCAGCGGCUCAGCGCGCUUAGUGUUUUAGCAUGCGAGAGACUGAAAGUGAUAGAGAGCAAGGCUCCAAAUCUCUCCAGUUUAUACCUUUGCGGAAAUUGGUUAGACUUCUCACUUGUGGAAACAUUGCCAAUAAAGGAACUAGAAUUGCAACAAACAAACCUUAUCUGGGAUGCUCGUGCCAAGCUGCCAUCCCUUAUGCCAAAUAUUGAAACUCUUGCCAUACAAUCAUCGAGAGAGGUGGUUGAUGCACCAAUGCUGCCUACCAAAUUCCUCCACCUUAAGCACCUGACCAUCACUGUGAGAUCAGGAGCAAUUGUUUUCCGAGCAUGUGACUACUUUUCUCUGGUUUCUUUCCUCGAUGCUUCUCCUUCCUUGGAGACUUUGAUAUUAGAUGUGACUCAGCGGCGUAUGGUGCAUGAAUCAAUUUUUGCGGAUUCACAACUGAGGCACAUGCCUGAACACCGCCAUGGUCACCUCAAGAACGUCAAGAUUAGCGGUUUCAACUCUGCGAAGUGCGUGGUUGAACUAACAUGUUAUAUUCUCAAGAACGCGGUGUCACUUGAGUGUCUUACAUUGGACACCAUAUAUGGGAGUAGGUGUGAUGAUCAAGGCGAGGACAACAGGUGUACUCCCAUGACGGAUGGCAUUCUCAUGGAAAUUCCUGGCACUCUUGGCUAUCAAAACACACAUUGA
rnacentral:rRNA from 1 species